rnacentral:rRNA from 1 species
UACGAAGGGGGCUAGCGUUGCUCGGAAUCACUGGGCGUAAAGGGUGCGUAGGCGGGUCUUUAAGUCAGGGGUGAAAUCCUGGAGCUCAACUCCAGAACUGCCUUUGAUACUGAGGAUCUUGAGUUCGGGAGAGGUGAGUGGAACUGCGAGUGUAGAGGUGAAAUUCGUAGAUAUUCGCAAGAACACCAGUGGCGAAGGCGGCUCACUGGCCCGAUACUGACGCUGAGGCACGAAAGCGUGGGGAGCAAACAGGGAUUAAA